CAGCAGCCGCGGUAUACGUAGGGUGCGAGCGUUAAUCGGAAUUACUGGGCGUAAAGCGUGCGCAGGCGGUUGUGUAAGACAGGUGUGAAAUCCCCGGGCUUAACCUGGGAACUGCGCUUGUGACUGCACAGCUAGAGUAUGGCAGAGGGGGGUGGAAUUCCACGUGUAGCAGUGAAAUGCGUAGAGAUGUGGAGGAACACCGAUGGCGAAGGCAGCCCCCUGGGCCAAUACUGACGCUCAUGCACGAAAGCGUGGGGAGCAAACAGGAUUAGAUACCCGGGUAGUCCCUGUCUCUUAUACA
rnacentral:rRNA from 1 species